UGGCACACACACUUAUUUGGGAUAGCAAGCCAGUCUGACAAGCUUGGAAACAAAGCUAUUCUACUCAUUCACUUUUCUGCUCGUUACACUGCAGAGGAAAUUGAUGCAGCAAUAAACAGGUUGCCACCGUCUUUCCGAAGCAGAGUUUAUGCGUUGAAGGAAGGCUUCUAAAGAAACAUGAACUGACAAAUCAGCAAUGAAGUUUUCUAAAUUAGAUUCCAUUGGUAUUUUCACUGGAAAUCUUUUUGCUAUGUGUGCUCUGAUGAUACUAUAGCAAUUUUCUGAAGAUUUCUGGGAAAUCUUCUGCUUUCAGUUGUCUAUACUUGUUUCACUCACAUGAUAUUGGAAUGUUGGAAUAGUGAAAUGUGGAACAACCCAUAUUAACAAUAUUUACUUUAUUUCUUUUUGUUCAGAAUCAUUUACCUUAUUUCUGAACAUGAACAAUUAUAGUACACGAAUACCAUGUGAAUUUUGGCCAA